rnacentral:rRNA from 1 species
GACGAACGCUGGCGGCGUGCUUAACACAUGCCAGUCGAACGGAAAGGCCCUGCUUUUGUGGGGUGCUCGAGUGGCGAACGGGUGAGUAACACGUGAGUAACCUGCCCUUGACUUUGGGAUAACUUCAGGAAACUGGGGCUAAUACCGGAUAGGAGCUCCUGCUGCAUGGUGGGGGUUGGAAAGUUUCGGCGGUUGGGGAUGGACUCGCGGCUUAUCAGCUUGUUGGUGGGGUAGUGGCUUACCAAGGCUUUGACGGGUAGCCGGCCUGAGAGGGUGACCGGCCACAUUGGGACUGAGAUACGGCCCAGACUCCUACGGGAGGCAGCAGUGGGGAAUAUUGCACAAUGGGCGGAAGCCUGAUGCAGCAACGCCGCGUGCGGGAUGACGGCCUUCGGGUUGUAAACCGCUUUCGCCUGUGACUAAGCGUGAGUGACGGUAAUGGAUAAAGAAGCACCGGCUAACUACGUG